AAAUGCCAGGGUCAAAAGGUCAUAAACCACGUUGUGCUUGCACAUAAGUGAUUUUAUGCCUUUAUGACCCGCCCUAAAAUGAGGAUAAAAGUGGAGCGUAAGCUUCACGAUAUCCGAAUUUAGGGUAGAAUUGUGAGAGCACAAAGUGCGGAACAAUUCGUCAGGCAUGU
rfam:Firmicutes bacterium CAG:424 genomic scaffold, scf25